GCAUGUUCUGGAAAUCUCGCUGAAUGAACAUGGAGUGAGCGACAUCAACUAGAGUUGCUUCUAAUUGCACAAAUUACUCUGAGGAAUGCAACAGUUGAAAGCGAUGGCUAUAUGCGUAACUUCGGCAACUUCAAGUUCGUACCAGAUUCCUCAGAGUUUGGAAACAUCUUCGAAAUACCGAGCGUUUGCAAAAAUAUUCAGAACUCCAAAAGAAACUUCGAUGAGACAGACAUGAAUCUGGUAGGUAUGGGAAUGGAGUUUUAAGGAAGGAUGGUGCAAAGGUGCGGGACUAUUGCAUUGGUGACUCCCGUGGGAAAUUGUCACUGCUGCCACGACAAGAGUACAAAACCCACAAG